CUACUGCUGUUGGCAUAGGCCUACUUCAAUUCAGAGCAUCUUUAUAUUGUAAGAAGAACACAUGGGAUGGGAUAUAUUGGUGCUGCCUUUGAAAUAAUCUGCCAAAGAGCCACAAGUACUAUGGCUGAACAGAAAAAUAUCCCAGAGAGAGGUUGUCAUAGGAACUGUGCCAGAAGAGCAGCUACUCAAUAGAAUGUACCAUCCAAGGAAGAGAGGAAGGAACUUAUCUUGAAGCUUCUCUUACCAUCCAUUUUAAGGAACAAAUCUUUCAUGAAUCUCCUCAUGGAAAUUGUCUGCAGUGACAGCAGGGGAAGACUGUCAUUCAGAUUUUCCAGAUGAAAAAAAAUGAAGCACAAAGAAGUUGAAUUAUUCCAGGUCCCAUGGUUUGCUACACCUAAUGAAGAGAUUGAAAUAUCCCCAAACAUAAGUUGUACAAGAAGAAUCAAGAAGCAUGUUUAGGCACUAAAUCAAUACAAAUUACAAAGUGGUAAAACCGAGAUUCAUUUUAGUAGAUGGAGGAAAGGUUACUUGGAGAGAAUUAUGACAAACUAAUAGAGAUUCACAUAGUCUUCUCCAUACCCGUCACCCUCACACAAGUAACAAGUUAAGACCAGUCAUAAAGCAUGCUGGGACAUCAUCAAUAUCACACCAGGAGGGUAAGGAAGGAAUCCAUGAUCUACCAGAAGAAGGACUAGAGUUGCCUUAUAUAGAGAUAUACAAAGUCUCGGCUCUCAUACCUUUUAAAUUCUAGUGGGAGAAAUGGACCAAAACCAAGUUAAACAAGUACAAUUUUUCCAAAAUGGUAAGUGUUUAUCCUAAUAAAGGAGACAGUAGAGACUAUAUAAAUCAGAUGAUUCAAAUAGUGGUAAGUGCCAUGAAAAUAAAAGUGAUGAUGUGUCCAAGAGAGUUUGCUUAUUGAAGGUGGUGGGGACAAGAUUAGGACUCUCAGAGAUGGCUUCUGUGUUGAGAAGCGAAUAUGAAGAAAGAGCUGACAGGAAACAUUUCCAGGAAGAGGAAACCCCAAGUGGCACAACCUAGAGAUAUGAAUGAACUUGAGUGUUUAAGGAACAGUAAAAGACACAUGUGACUAGAGGCUGGGAAUGAGGGCCAAAUGUGGGGCCUUGGAAUUUUCAUUUUAUGCCAAUUGUGUUGGAAAGGCAUUGGAGAAUUUGAAGGAAGGAGUGAUAUGAUUUCAUCAUUUGAUCAAUCCUGAGAAAUAUUUAAGAGGUGUAAUUAGCAGAAUUAGGUGAUUUCUAAAAUACAUUUCUUUUU